rnacentral:tRNA from 1 species
UAGUAUUAGUGCAUAGCAUUAGUACUACUACUACUAGUACUAAUACUACGAGUAGUACUAGUACUACUAGUAUUAG